CCUACGGGUGGCAGCAGUGGGGAAUAUUGCACAAUGGGGGAAACCCUGAUGCAGCGACGCCGCGUGAGCGAGGAAGUAUUUCGGUAUGUAAAGCUCUAUCAGCAGGGACGAAAAAAGACGGUACCUGACUAAGAAGCCCCGGCUAACUACGUGCCAGCAGCCGCGGUAAUACGUAGGGGGCAAGCGUUAUCCGGAUUUACUGGGUGUAAAGGGAGCGUAGACGGCAAGGCAAGCCAGAAGUGAAAGGGCAGGGAUCAACCCUGUACAUGCUUUUGGAACUGUGGUGCUAGUGUGCAGGAGGGGUAAGUGGAAUUCCUAGUGUAGCGGUGAAAUGCGUAGAUAUUAGGAGGAACACCAGUGGCGAAGGCGGCUUACUGGACUGCAACUGACACUGAGGCUCGAAAGUGUGGGUAUCAAACAGGAUUAGUCCCGAGUAGUC
rnacentral:rRNA from 1 species